GAUGAACGCUGGCGGCGUGCCUAAUACAUGCAAGUCGAGCGAACGGACGAGAAGCUUGCUUCUCUGAUGUUAGCGGCGGACGGGUGAGUAACACGUGGAUAACCUACCUAUAAGACUGGGAUAACUUCGGGAAACCGUAGCUAAUACCGGAUAAUAUUUUGAACCGCAUGGUUCAAAAGUGAAAGACGGUCUUGCUGUCACUUAUAGAUGGAUCCGCGCUGCAUUAGCUAGUUGGUAAGGUAACGGCUUACCAAGGCAACGAUGCAUAGCCGACCUGAGAGGGUGAUCGGCCACACGGGAACUGAGGCACAGUCCAGACUCCGACGGGAGGCAGCAGUAGAGAAUCUUCCGCGAGGGGCGAGAGCCGGACGGAGCAACGCCGCGUGAGUGAUGAAGGUCUUCGGAUCGGAAAACUCUGUUAUUAGGGAAGAACAUAUGUGUAAGUGACUGUGCACAUCUUGACGGUACCUAAUCAGAAAGCCACGGCUAACUACGUG
rnacentral:rRNA from 1 species